GGGGAUGGUGAUGGGAUGGGACGGGGAUGGGGAUGCUGAUGGGGAGGAGGGAUGGGAUGGGUGGGAUGGGUUGGGAGGGACGGUGACACCUGGUGGUGGGAGCUGCAGCACAGCCGGGGCCACCCUCGCCCUCCCACGCGGAGCAGCCAGGGCGCCCCGAGCCUGUGCCGUUGUCACCGCGCUGUCCCCAGGGCACCCCGGCCGUGACACACCGCGGGCGGCGGGGUCCCCGCGGCCGGGCCCCAUCCUGCUGCCCCGGCACAACGCCGCGGGGCGGCGGAGGCCCAGAGCAGAGGGGGAGCACCCCGGGCUGCGAGCCCUUCCCCGCCGUCCUCCUCUCCCUCCCCCCGAGCCCUGACGACAUUUUCGACUCAUUUCUCACUUGGUCACCGAUUCCUCGCGGCCCAGCUCCCUGCCGUGCCGUGGGGACGCGGCGGGGACGUGGCAGCCGCCUGCUCCGGGCUGGCCCCGGCCGCUGCUCGGGGACGGAGCCCGCGGAGGAUCCGCGACAGCCCGGGUGCCUCCGGCCUCCUCCUCGGGUUUGGGGCGUCCGCGGCGGAGCACUGGGAGCCGGGGCCACGUGUCCCCACGGGGAGGACGAGAGCCCCGAGCCGUUACGGAGAAGGGCAGGAGCCGGGGACGGUGGCACCUGAACUCCAAAGGUGCCUGGAAGUGAUGGGGAAACCGAGGCACGGCCGGACGGGCUCUCCCUGCACCGCUUGUGCUGCGCUGAGGCUUCCCCACCAGCCCCAAAAUUUAGGGACUCGGCCACUGCUGCAGUGGGGCCGUUUAACCCCCCCGGCUCCCCGCAGCCUCCCGCCCAGCCUCCCCAGGCGCCGCGUGGGACCCGACGAUGCGUUUUAGGGGAUGCUUUCGGCAGAUCGCAGCUGGGUUUUGCACGCACCUCGCACCGAGCCGCUCUUUAAAAAAACAAACCCGAGGAUUAGCCUUUCCUCAUCAACCUGGGCAAACGGGAGGCGAAGUACCCUCCCCCUCCUUCCUCUCCUUCAUCCUCCUCUUUAAUUUGUCCCAGGUUUGGGAUGCCCAGGGGCUUCAGCACUGCCUUCAUCCUCCUCCUCCUCCCUGCCCGGCCGUGGCAGCUCUGCCUGCGCAGCCACCUGGGGUCCCUGCACGCCGAGCUUCGGCCGGGAGCGAUGUCCUCCUCCGCAGCCCCCUUCCCAUGGGAAAACCCAAAUCCCGCGGCCCCAUCCGGCCCCAGGACGUGUGGACCCCCUCCUCCCCGCGCCCCACGGGGAGUCUCCGGUGUCUCGUACUGGGGUUGAGCUCAGCACAGCCCCUGGGGGAGGUGAGGCCGAUUUGGGGGUUUUCGCCCUCCCCGACAUCCGAGCUGCUAAAAACUUGGGGGGAAUUCAUUUCUUUGAGCCCUCUGCGGGCCCUUGAUGCACCCUGAAGGAAAAAGCAGCGCCGGAGCCUGAAUUUUGUCGGCUGCUGCUGCCAAACAGCCCGGUGGCAGCGACGUGGCGAGGCUGGGGAACGGAGGCGUGCAGUGCCCGAAAUCCCCUGGUGGCCUCCCCGUGGGGCCUCUCGGGGGUGAAACACCCCCCCCCCCCAAAAAAAAAAAAAAAAGGAAAAGGAAAAGCAGCCUAAUUGAAAAUCUCCUCCUCUUUCCUGGUGGAUCCAUCCACUCUUCAAUAUUAAUGAAGUCGCCCUCCCAAUUAAUUCUCCGCCUGCCCACUGGAGGCCCAGGGGUGGAAACUCAUUAAUUUCUCGCCACCCAAAUCCAGAAGAAAUAACACCAAAAACCUCGGGGCUGCUUUCCCGCUGCUCCCUCCUCCUGAGCCCCCCCGUCCAUGCACUUGCCCCCCUCGGCAGGCAGGGAAGGGCAGGUGGGGGUCAAUUAACAGCGAUUUAAUUGCGUUGGCAGGCGCCACUGCUCCCCCUGCACCCAGGGGUGCUGUGCCCCCCCCGGCCCCGCUGCCCCUGGCUCUUCCCCGGGCACCCAGCGCCUGCAUUUCCCCUUGUCUCAGGAGGCUUG
rnacentral:lncRNA from 1 species